rnacentral:lncRNA from 1 species
CAUAGAAAACCCUAAUUUCUACAUCCAAACUGAAUCACACAAAAAUACACCAUCACACUUGCCGCCAAUAAAUUGCUGUUGUUCGUCUUUGUCGUCAUCUUCAUCCCCACUCCACAGCUUGCUGGCUAUUCCCAUUUCCCUUUUAUAGCUUGAACAACUGAUCUUCUUCAAGUUCGAGCCAUUGUUACUGACUUCUUUCGGGAGAGGUAAGUGAUUAAUUCUUUUUUUUUUUAAGAGACAACAAUCACCAUAAAUUUCUCAAAAUCCCUAAAAUUAUGCCAAAAAAAGGAAAAAAUACAGCCGCUCCAUGGCCUUAAAGGACUGACUUCGAGUUCGUGGACUAACGUGCCAACGACUCCGCUUUAUGGCCUUCGUGGAACGAUUCCGUGACACGCGAGUGGCAGCGUGCUAUUUACGUGGAGUCGGAUCGGAGAAGAUUGUACUACGAGGAGUUGGCGACGUGAGAAAGACAGCGAGUUAGCUACUACGUCUUCGACUUAGGGUAAAAUUUUGGCAGAAUUUGAGCUGAAAUUUAGUGGGUUUUGAGUGGUAAGACGAGGUUUUGAGAGAGGAAAAUGAGUGUUUGGCUGGCGAGAAAGUGAGAAAAAGUUUUUGAGUGUGGAGUGAUGGCUUCUCUGUUUUUACUUCUUUAUUGUUCUUUAUUGAGUAGAUGGUGACGAUACAAACUUUUAACAUUGUUUACUUAAUUAAUUGGAUAACAAUCUUACAUGACUGUUUUGAUUUAUCAGAUAAAUCAGUUAGAGAAGAAUGGAGAUGUUGUUGCUCAGGCACGAGCAAUUACAGCAAUCUAGACACUCUGCCCCGUCUUUCUUUCAAUGUUGUUGGCACACUGAAUAAUUUCCUUAGUGACAAGUUAACCAAAUUUAGAGGUAUAUGUGAUUUUGAUUUGACUUACUCUUAAUGAAAUACAAUAAGGAUUUUUUCUAUUGUUUCUAGGCCUUUUGGAGAGUUCGGAUUGAAGCAACGUUUGCCUUAGCUAAUACAACAUCUAAGGUAUUGUUAUUAUUCUCACCUUUAUUUAUUAAAUAUAUUGAGCACAUGGUAGGUCCACCAAAAUGUAUGCAAAAUCUAUUCACCAGAGGUAUUCGCAUAAAGUGAAUUUUUGUGAGAGACUAUUCUUCAACUGUGAAAACUACUUUGGUAGUUCUCAAACCCAUUACAAUUGAUUGGUGCUUGUGUUUUUCUAUUAGAAAGAUAUCUUCUGUAAAAUCUUUGUGAACUACAUUUUUGGAAAUGCAAAUGCUUUGUGUGGUGGUGAUUGUGCUUAUUUGCUUGGUCUUCUAGCAUUUCAGUGAAAUGAUUUAUUUUGACUUGUGCUUAUGACUAACUUGUUGACAGAGAAACUAGGCCAUUUAUAGAUGCACUGAUAUGAAUCCUAUAAUUUUUCUCUUAAUUGACAUGUUGAACUUUUUGGAAGAUAUUUUUUUUUAUUUGAUUUGUCACAUAUUUUUUAUUUGAUUUGUCACAUAUUGUGCUUUAUUAGUUGGAAAUGUUUUGGUUUGUGGACCAUGUUGCACUUACCAGUUCUCAAUAUUGAUAUAUGAUAUAUACACACUAUUGUACUGUAAAUUGAUUGAGUUGGUUUGCUCCAUCUGGUGAAAUUUUAUAAAAGUCGAAGGUUUGAUGAGAAUAUUGGACUCCCCAAGUGAGAAUCUAUCUAAGUUUGAAAUUGUUCUGAUAUCGUUGCUGCAGCACUUUGUUAACGUUUUUGUUUUCUGCUGAUCAUUCCAGGCCAAAUGAUAUCUGUGAUUUUUCAGAGUAUUUGUUCUUGAG